UCUGGUUAAGUCCCAGCCCCAUCGAACCCUCCCAGCGCUCCUCCUGAUUCGCCGCCGCCGCUCCUCCCCUCGCCGGUGCCUCGUCUCCCCCACCUCCGGCGUGUCCCUCCUCCCAUCCGCCGCCCCUCUCUCCGCCACCAGUGCGCCGGAGCAGACCGAACACAGCCGCUCCAUCUCCCUUCUCGGAGCACCCCACAUCAAGGGAGGCGCCCCGGCGGCCCGCCUCCUCCCCGGAUCAAUCCACGUAGACGGAGGCGCGAGAGGACCCGCCUCGACCUCUCGAACGUCCAUGUGGCCGGCAGAGUCCGCUGGCCUGCGAGCUCCACGCGUGUGGGUCGCCUGCGGGUACGACCGAGGCGGCGCGACGGUGUCUUUCCGCGACGUCCGUGACAGCGGAUGGCGGGAGUGACGCUGGAUCUCGCGGCGGCGCAGGAAUGGAGGCACGGUGGACCUGCUGCCGCCGGCAACAUCUCCGGCUCAAUGCUGCCGCCCACCACUCCGUCAUGCUCCUUCCGGUCACCUCCCCUAACCUGCUGCAGCCCCGUGUGCGUCAACUAACUACAACAUGGCAUGAUGGCAUGCGUGGCUGCUUCGGUGGAACGAAGCCCCAUCUGGGCUUCAAAGUCUCUCCUUACCUGGAAGUCACUCCUGCUUCAGGACAUUGCUGGCUGGAUGCAGAGCAUGGCGGCCAUGACGGCGAUGGCAAAGCGCCCUAGCAGCAGCAGGAGCGGCAGGUACUGGAGCCGGCGCUAGAGAUGGAGGAUCUCCUCCAUGUCUUCGAUCUCCCCGUCAAGCUCACACGACAUGAUAAGGAGAAGGGCUUGGUGAUGCUCAGUAUCAUGUCUUUAAUUGGAUUAGGGUUAAUGAUUGUACUUCUAUUUAGGUCUCUUGUAUUCUAGAGAAGAAACUAUGGGUGCUUUGCUAAUCAACACAGUCUGGAACUUUCAAAUUGAAGAAGCAGCCGCAGAGUUACUACAGAUAAAAGAACAAUGGGGCACAAAUUUGCAGGUGCACGGGCGAGCUGAUGUCAAGAGGCGGAAGGUUGAGUGGCAGGAGUUGCAUAGAUAGACGGCUGGUGUCGACCAUGUCCAGUGGCGCUCUCUUGCCGGUGACGACGACCAGCGAUGCCACCACACUGUGCACCCUCCUGCUCAGGCCUUCGCGCCACCCAGACCGAGAGAGCACCCCUGCCCCGGCCUAGCUGCAGGACAACACAAGGCUGUCGUUGUUGUUGUUGUAUGAGUUCGUCGACGCACUUCUGCCAUUUGGAGCCGGAGGAGUGGAUGGGUAAGAAAGAUAGGUGGGCAAGUUCUCGGAGCAGUACACCCACUGGUCCAGCAUCACCUCGGUCACCUCGGUCGUCGUCAAGGUUCUGAAGAAUGGUGCUGAGGUGAAGUUGCAGAGGAAUGCUUCGUGCGUCUUGCAAGCUCCAACUGGUAACGAAGUUGCAGAACAAUGUAGCUGAGAAUAUUUGUACCUGCCUGGUGGAGCUUGAGCUGGUGCUACCGGCAUCCACUACGACCUGCUGCCCAUGCCUUCGUUGACUGGGACGUCUCCUACAGCACCACGUCCCCCAUCGGCGUGCCACAGAAGGGUCUUCAGGAGAAGGACCUAGAUGGUCAUGCUGAGAAGGGCAUACAGCAUAACCAGAAGGCCACCUUCCGUGGAGAAGAUAAUGAAGCGUAGAGAAGAAACACCUGAAGUUCAAAAGAAAGGCCAAUGGUCUCUUCUAUGAGCACACCUUGUCUCUCACUGAACAUCUUUGUGUGUUUCAACUUGAGUCAGAUGCUCUUUGUCUUCAAGAAAGCUGUUGUGGUGACAUAAGUGACCCUCCCAAACCAAAAGAGCAUGUGUGAGAGCUUCUUCCCAUGCUCUGACACUUUGAUUUUGGGACGAGAUUGAUGCUUCUCCUGAUGUGUAUAUGCAUGCCUGUGCUGCUGUUGUGCUGGUUGUGGCCGCCUGCGUCUCACGCGAGGUUGUUGGCUUAGCUGGCCCGCGGCUUCGACUACCUCCUCGGCGAGUUCACCACGGCGUAACCAUGAUGCUCGUGCUCGGCUACAACAUCUCCUGUGAGUUACUGGAUGCAAAAGUGGAAUAGGACGAGGAAGAUUGUUGAGUAGCGUCCUAAGUGGUGGUGGUGGACAUGGUGGUAAAGGGGGAAGCAGUUUUGUUAAUGGAAGCAGUGCUGACGGUGGAACUACAUAUGGUAAUGCCGAUUUGCCUUGUGAACUUGGCAGUGGCAAUGACACCACGGGGUCUUCCACAGCUGGUGUUGGUAUAACAGGUAACACAUAUAUCAAUGAUGGACUUUACUACAUAGCUGCGCCGGAUAAAAGUCUUCCCGUGCGGCGGUUCUUUCAUGCAGGAACAGCCCCACUGUGUCAGCUCCAUAAAUGACUCUUUUCACUAUUCGCUGCACCUUCGUCAUGUCAUAGUACAUUAGUACCACAAACAUAUUACACUAGUAGUAAAAUUUAUCGCAUGCGUGUCUUCAUAAAAGCCAUUCACAUCAUACUAUAGUGUUAAAAAUAUGUACUAAAUGCCAGAUUAAUUGUGCCUGCCCGCCAGAUUAAUUACGCCUAGCUGCCAGAUUACAAAUUGUGAAAAAAAUUGAGCCUAGUU